UGCACAGCAGCACAGAGACCAGGCAGCAGUGGCAUAAACCCAGAUGGGAACGCCAGUCGUCCCACCUGUGCACAGCAGCACAGAGACCAGGCAGCAGUGGCAUAAACCCGAGAACUACAGUAUGUUCUAAUAGCUAUACCACAUAUCGACAUCGUUUUGGUUAUAAUCACAUCGUAGUGCUAAUAAAUGAUUUAAUGAAAGUUUUAAAUCGUCUCAUGAUUAGAUUUAGAAUAAAGACCUUGUACUGUCUUUUUACAGGGUCUGCAACUUGGGCCCAGAGGCAAAAUGACCAUCACCAAGCCCACCAAACAGCACAUGGCAGAAGGAGGGAUUAGAAGUACACUCUCCAGCACCCUUCUUGGACCUGUCAGUCCUCCAGAUAGAAGAGAGAGGCAGACGAGAACUCUGGCCCUCUAUACAAGCCAUUGAUAUGCAGCAUGGGGAUGUUUGCUGAAAAAGCUUUUAGUCGACUCCCCUCUUUGGAAAAGGUUGGGAGCCUCCUGUCUUACCAGCAUCCUCCAAUCACAAACGAGACACAUUGUUCACCAUAAGGAGAUACACCACCAUUCCCUUCACAGCCCCUGGAUGGCUACAGACUUGGAGAGCAACGUUCAAGGCUGUACAUUUGUGCUCGGUGAAGAAGUCCAGCUUCAACAUAGUCUCUUCAGGUGAGAGAAUACAUAGAGACCCAAGUGGUGUUCUCCCUAAUUAGAGAGAAGGGUGACUGGUACUAUUUAUAUAUGUGUACAUGCACAAGUUCUUAGGCAGGAAAGACUUAAUAACUACGGACAGGCUCCUUCUAAUCUUUCAAUUCAUGAACGAGAAACAAACCCAACAAAUCUAUCUGUGCAAUUCAUUUAAUAAAUCAUUUAAAAAAUAA